rnacentral:lncRNA from 1 species
UCUAUUUGGGCUGGCAAUCAUCACUCUUAAAAAUAUUAUCCUUUAGGUUUUUUUUAACUGGUAAAAGAUGUCCGCUUUGACUGUCAUAUUAAUUGUCUGCAUGUUAGUAACUUAGCAAUGAGCUUUUUCGGAAGUGCUUGCCUCUAUUGUAGUUUCGGAAAGAAGGCUAUUUCUUCAGAGAAUUAAAGUUUCCAAUUAGCCUGUUUUGUGGCUUCCUUACAAUUGUGUCCCCCUGGUCAAUUAAUUGCAUGAUUCUUUUCCAAGUAUAAAUUGACAGUUUACUUUUUACUUUCAAGAUCUGGGAAAUAAAGCUUACAUUUCUUUGGGCUAUAACUUUGUUGAAUGGUUAUCUUUGUGACUGGCUUAUGUCGGAUGUUAUAAUCACUUCCUGUAAAUAUCUUGCUGAAUCUUUGAAGUCAGAUGUAUUUGUAUUUUCUUGAAAUGCUUAUUUGCUAUCUUAUAUUUCUCUUCUCAAUUAGCAUUUAUUUUACCAUGUGAUCUAUUUUUACAGUAUUAUCUUGAGGGUAAGUAUUUCAAAGGUACUGUGGUAUUUAUUUUCUUUUCUGGUAACUAUUUUAUGUCAUAUCAAGUUGAAGGAUGAAUUGAUCUCAUUUGAAGUUAAUGUCUUUAUGCCUUUUAUAUCCAUAUAUACCUUGUGUGACAUCCCUAGCUUUAAAGGUGCUUACAGGUACAUGCUCUGCUACUCUAUUGAGAGGUAGGAUAUGCUGUGGGUCUUUGCUGCUUGCUCUACCUACCUUGUAGCAUGAAUGUUAGUAACUUCUGUCAUUUGUAUUAUUUGUUGAUUUUUAUGAUUUAGUUACCAUAAGUUUUUAAAUAUUGAUUCUUUUGGAAGAACUGAGCAGAUUGCUUCUCUCUUUUUUUUUCAAGAAAAAUUUUCUCAUUAUUUCUAUAAGAUUCCUUCUCGUCACGCAAAAGAAAAUCUUAUUACCUUGACCAUUGCAUGCACAACUCUAUUUGGUCUGAGUUUCUUGUACCAAUUUUUCUACCUAGUUCCAAUCCAUGCUUUGACCAUGAGUUUGAUGGUAUUGUCAGAGAUAUGAAACUUAUAGAUCUAAGUGGACAUAAGAGCAAAUUCAACUCCACUUUUGAUCUUUUCCAUCUGUUCCCACUUGAUAUAAUUGUAUUCCUUCUUUUGCAAUAUACUUUUGAUGUAAGAGAGGGGUUCGUUAUAUGUGAAGAUAGUUCAGAUAUGAGAAUGUGGUGAAAUCAUCUGGUAAACAAAUGUGGAAAUGCUGGUUUUCAUUAAUGCAUUAUGUGUUGUGGACCCUGAUUGCACUGAGGCCUGUGCACUGAGGACAAGGGGUGUCUGUCAGAAGAUACUGCAAGUAACAAUAAACCAAAUGUUUGUCUGAAAAGUUUGUCUUUGGCGGGUAACUGAUUCUGUCAGAUAACCAGGUUGGAGCUAAAACUAGGUUGUGCUAGUUCCCAGGCACAUGUCUGUUUAGGAGCUAAUGUUGGUGGUGCUGGCAGCAUAUAAUCUGGAGCUAAAACUAGGUUGUGCUAGUUCCCAGGCACAUGUCUGUUUAGGAGCUAAUGUUGGUGGUGCUGGCAGCAUAUAAUCUGAAUAGUGAUUUGAUUGAUUGGAAGAUAAUAACUGAGAUCUUGCUUAGAACUUGCAGCUUUCUGUAUCUGAUUUAGUUGUUCAGUCUUGAAAUGUUUUCUAAACUGUAAUAUGUUUCUACAGGAAAUCUGAAUUAGGCUUGGGGGUUAGGCAACAUAUUAGUUCGCUUUGCUAGGUCUCUCAUUUGGUCAAUGGGAGACUGGUUUGUGCAAC